UACACUGGCGGCGAGCGGCGGACGGGUGAGGAAUGCAUCGGAAUCUGCCUAUACGUGGGGGAUAACGUAGGGAAACUUACGCUAAUACCGCAUACGUCCUACGGGAGAAAGCGGGGGAUCGCAAGACCUCGCGCGGAUAGAUGAGCCGAUGCCGGAUUAGCUAGUUGGCGGGGUAAAGGCCCACCAAGGCGACGAUCCGUAGCUGGUCUGAGAGGAUGAUCAGCCACACUGGAACUGAGACACGGUCCAGACUCCUACGGGAGGCAGCAGUGGGGAAUAUUGGACAAUGGGCGCAAGCCUGAUCCAGCCAUGCCGCGUGUGAAGAAGGCCUUCGGGUUGUAAAGCACUUUUGUCCGGAAAGAAAAGCAUCCAGUUAAUACCUGGGUGUUAUGACGGUACCGGAAGAAUAAGCACCGGCUAACUUCGUGCCAGCAGCCGCGGUAAUACGAAGGGUGCAAGCGUUACUCGGAAUUACUGGGCGUAAAGCGUGCGUAGGUGGUUCGUUAAGUCCGAUGUGAAAGCCCUGGGCUCAACCUGGGAAUGGCAUUGGAUACUGGCGAGCUAGAGUGCGGUAGAGGGGUGCGGAAUUCCCGGUGUAGCAGUGAAAUGCGUAGAUAUCGGGAGGAACAUCCGUGGCGAA
rnacentral:rRNA from 1 species